rnacentral:rRNA from 1 species
CGGGGGGGGGGGCAAGCGUUGUUCGGAAUUACUGGGCGUAAAGGGCGCGUAGGCGGGUCCCGCAAGUCCUCCGUGAAAUCCCACAGCUCAACUGUGGAACUGCGAGGGAAACUGCAGGACUUGAGUCCGGGAGAGGAGAGUGGAAUUCCCAGUGUAGCGGUGAAAUGCGUAGAUAUUGGGAGGAACACCGGUGGCGAAGGCGGCUCUCUGGACCGGUACUGACGCUGAGGCGCGAAAGCUAGGGGAGCAAACGGGAUUAGAUACCCCGGUAGUCCUAGCCUUAAACGAUGAGCACUUGGUGUGGCGGGUAUCGACCCCUGCCGUGCCGAAGCUAACGCAUUAAGUGCUCCGCCUGGGGAGUACGGUCGCAAGGCUG